UGUUGGGACUGGCCUGUUUCACAUGAUUCUUGUGUAGGUGGUAAGAGAGGUUAGUGGUGUUUGAGCCUGUUGUUGGGACUGGCCUGUUUCACAUGAUUCUUGUGUAGGUGGUAAGAGGUUAGUGGUGUUUGAGCCUGUUGUUGGGACUGGCCUGUUUCACAUGAUUCUUGUGUAGGUGGUAAGAGAGGUUAGUGGUGUUUGAGCCUGUUGUUGGGACUGGCCUGUUUCACAUGAUUCUUGUGUAGGUGGUAAGAGAGGUUAGUGGUGUUUGAGCCUGUUGUUGGGACUGGCCUGUUUCACAUGAUUCUUGUGUAGGUGGUAAGAGAGGUUAGUGGUGUUUGAGCCUGUUGUUGGGACUGGCCUGUUUCACAUGAUUCUUGUGUAGGUGGUAAGAGGUUAGUGGUGUUUGAGCCUGUUGUUGGGACUGGCCUGUUUCACAUGAUUCUUGUGUAGGUGGUAAGAGAGGUUAGUGGUGUUUGAACCUGUUGUUGGGACUGGCCUGUUUCACAUGAUUCUUGUGUAGGUGGUAAGAGAGGUUAGUGGUGUUUGAGCCUGUUGUUGGGACUGGCCUGUUUCACAUGAUUCUUGUGUAGGUGGUAAGAGGUUAGUGGUGUUUGAGCCUGUUGUUGGGACUGGCCUGUUUCACAUGAUUCUUGUGUAGGUGGUAAGAGGUUAGUGGUGUUUGAGCCUGUUGUUGGGACUGGCCUGUUUCACAUGAUUCUUGUGUAGGUGGUAAGAGGUUAGUGGUGUUUGAGCCUGUUGUUGGGACUGGCCUGUUUCACAUGAUUCUUGUGUAGGUGGUAAGAGGUUAGUGGUGUUUGAGCCUGUUGUUGGGACUGGCCUGUUUCACAUGAUUCUUGUGUAGGUGGUAAGAGAGGUUAGUGGUGUUUGAGCCUGUUGUUGGGACUGGCCUGUUUCACAUGAUUCUUGUGUAGGUGGUAAGAGAGGUUAGUGGUGUUUGAGCCUGUUGUUGGGACUGGCCUGUUUCACAUGAUUCUUGUGUAGGUGGUAAGAGGUUAGUGGUGUUUGAGCCUGUUGUUGGGACUGGCCUGUUUCACAUGAUUCUUGUGUAGGUGGUAAGAGGUUAGUGGUGUUUGAGCCUGUUGUUGGGACUGGCCUGUUUCACAUGAUUCUUGUGUAGGUGGUAAGAGAGGUUAGUGGUGUUUGAGCCUGUUGUUGGGACUGGCCUGUUUCACAUGAUUCUUGUGUAGGUGGUAAGAGGUUAGUGGUGUUUGAGCCUGUUGUUGGGACUGGCCUGUUUCACAUGAUUCUUGUGUAGGUGGUAAGAGAGGUUAG